UGUCUGGGAUGACAAAAACAUACGCUUCUCGAUUCUAACACUUGAUUUAUUCAAGGACCAAACUUGGAUGAGCUUUGUGCGUGUCUGAGCCAA